GAUGAACGCUGGCGGCGUGCCUAAUACAUGCAAGUCGAGCGAACGGACGAGGAGCUUGCUCCUUUGACGUUAGCGGCGGACGGGUGAGUAACACGUGGAUAACCUACCUAUAAGACUGGGAUAACUUCGGGAAACCGGAGCUAAUACCGGAUAAUAUAUUGAACCGCAUGGUUCAAUAGUGAAAGACGGUUUUGCUGUCACUUAUAGAUGGAUCCGCGCCGCAUUAGCUAGUUGGUAAGGUAACGGCUUACCAGGGCAACGAUGCGUAGCCGACCUGAGAGGGGGGUCGGCCGCACGGGAACUUGAACGCCGUCCCGGCCACUGAGGGAGGGCGCAGACGGGAAUUUUACGCAAUGGGGGGAAGCCUUGCGGAGGCACCGCGCGGGAGUUGUGGAGGUCCUUCGAUCGUAAAAACCUGUUUUUAGGGAAGAACCAAUGUGUAAGGUAACAUUCCCGGCUUGACGGUAACUAAUCAAAAAGCCACGGCUAACUACGUG
rnacentral:rRNA from 1 species